CAGUAGCCGCGGUAAGACAGAGGAUGCAAGCGUUAUCCGGAAUGAUUGGGCGUAAAGCGUGCGCAGGCGGUUAUAUAAGACAGAUGUGAAAUCCCCGGGCUCAACCUGGGAACUGCAUUUGUGACUGUAUAGCUAGAGUACGGCAGAGGGGGAUGGAAUUCCGCGUGUAGCAGUGAAAUGCGUAGAUAUGCGGAGGAACACCGAUGGCGAAGGCAAUCCCCUGGGCCUGUACUGACGCUCAUGCACGAAAGCGUGGGGAGCAAACAGGAUUAGAUACCCGCGUAGUCCCUGUCUCUUAUAC
rnacentral:rRNA from 1 species